rnacentral:rRNA from 1 species
GACGAACGCUGGCGGCGUCCUUAACACAUGCAAGUGGCGCGACGAACCAGGGCUUGCCCUGGGGCAACGCCGCGAACGGGCGAGUAACACGUGAGUAACCUGCCCCAUACUCUGGAAUAACCCCGGGAACCGCGAGCUACUACCGGAUACGCAGUAGAGCUGCAUGGCUACUACUUGGAAAGUUUUUCGGCCUGGGAUGGACUAGCGGCCUACCAGCUUGUUGGUGAGGUAACGGCGCACCCAGGCGACGACGGGUAGCCGGCCUGAGAGGGCGACCGGCCACACUGGGACUGAGACACGGCCCAGGCUCCUACGGGAGGCAGCAGUGGGGAAUAUUGCACAAUGGGCGAAAGCCUGAUGCAGCGACGCCGCGUGAGGGAUGACGGCCUUCGGGUUGUAAACCUCUUUCAGCAGGGAAGAAGCGAAAGUGACGGUACCUGCAGAAGAAGCACCGGCUAACUACGUGCCAGCCGCCGCAGUAAUAC